CCUCACCAACAUUUUGAGGAGCUUCCAUUUGGCUUCCAUUUUAGGUUCUCUCGCUUCUUCACCUGCUGUGAGGUUCAAUUCUCUUCAAAGGAUUGCUGUACCUAUGAAUUUCCAGGUAUUUGGGGGCUGAAGGCAGCUUACAGCCAGUGUGGUAUACAAAUAGUGUGUCAGAGUGGUGCUGAGAAAGCUAGGCCUGACUCGUCCAUGAAGCUAAACAGGUCACUGGAUGAAGAUGGCUACGUGUUUUUCCUGGAAACCAUGACUUAAACAGCUGAGCCUACGUGAGGAACAGGCAGAAAUGCAAGUGAUGACAAUAGAAAGGCACUUGCAGGCCAGAGAAGAAAGAAUAUCCACCUGUGUGGCUUGGAAAAGGCGAAGGAAACUUAGUAGAGUCUGUUAAGGUCGGCAUGCUGUAUCCAGUAGGUCUUUCACUUCAUUCAGACUAAUACAAGAGGCCUCUUUGAAAAAUUAAUGAACAUCCUGUUGCUGAAGAGAUCACUUUUCCAAACAAGGUUUUUUUGUUUUUUGUUUUAAACCCAACAGAUUACAAAGGGAUAUUGUUAAGGUUGUUAGGAGCAUUGGAUUCGGAGAAGGUUUCCGGUUAGUGGCUCGAAUAAAUCCAGCCUGCUAAUGACCUGUGUAAUUAUGGAAUUUCAUAUGCAGCCUGCGCCCAACUGCAUAGGGUUCUGUGGUAGGGCUAGGAUAAAAGAGCACCAAUGUAAAACAUCAUCAAAUCACAAAAGGUAGAAAUAAAAUACUGCAUGCUA